AUUCUUCGUUUUCACCCUGGGAGUCGGCAGUGAGGGUGCACCCAUCCGCACCGCAGUGCCCACCUCGCAGCCCAGUGCCACUUCUCCGCUUUCUGCCUUCUGAUGGGUCGCUGGCCCACCUCCUUUGGACGUGGGAUGGGUUUUGGUGAGCAGGGCCACACCUGAAGCAUCCCAGCAGCCUGCUGCCGCUUGGCCCUGCGCCCUGCUGGUGUCAGUGUCACUGUCAGCCCAAACCUUCCUCCCAAAUCCAGAAGGACGGUGCCUGCUGGUGCUCUCAUCGCUUGUGGGGCGGUGCGGCGCUGCAGGCAGGGAGCAGAGCGUGGCUCCCAGGUCCCUCCUGCUGCUGGUGGCGGUCCCUUUGCAGAGGCCCCUGGAGCAGAACGGAGGUGUAAUGCUGAGGAGCUGCAGGGCAGAGCACAGCUUUGGUCACUUUGGAGUUGGAGAUCUUGAGCCGGGGAGGAGAUCCCAGUGAGGGGAGAAGGGAUGUCCCCAGCCUGACAGCUCCUUCCUGGCUGCGCUCUGCCCGCUCUCUGCCCGAUGUCUCCGGGAUUCUCCAGGAGGGACCCAACCUGCCGUGGCCCCAGCAAGAGGCAGCAUUGGCUGCUGGACGUGGAGGGGUUCUGCAUUGCUUCGCACCUGUGGGGAGGGAGCCAGGGGAUGGGGAGCCUGGCAAAAAUCCCGUGUAACUCCUGUAUGUCACCUCCAGGACCCAAAUACCCCUGGGCAGAGAGGUGUGAGCACCGUCCCAGCUGGGUGUGGGGAUGUUGGUGGGAGCAGGAGGGAGGUCUGAGCGGGAUGGAUGCCAUGUUAAGGGGCUCUGCUCAUGGAGCAGAGCUUGGCCUACGCUGUGCGUGCGUGCGUGAUGGACUGAGCGUGGGCUGACCACGCCUGGUCCAGGCGGUGUUCCAUUGCACUGUAAGAAAAAUGCACUGUAAUUCCCCCCUAAUUAAAAUCAACCCCACCCCGUGCACUGUUGCAAAUAAACACUCCUUUCU
rnacentral:lncRNA from 7 species